AAUCAGUUAGUCACUGAUUUGCUGAAUAUGGAUGAGACAUUCAAAGAUGAAAAUUUGGCUUUGAUGCUGUUGGGGUCACUUCCUGAGGAGUUUGAGUUCCUAGAAACUACUCUACUUCAUGGCAUGAGUGAUAUAUCUCUGAGCGAAGUCUGUGCGGCCUUAUACAGUUAUGAACAGAGAAAGAAGGACAAACAGAAAAAC
rnacentral:lncRNA from 1 species